UGCAUGCGCGGAGCAACUUCAAGCCUACUUGUAUGGUAUGGUAUAAUGAAAUUGACGCUGUGUUUUUGAUACGUACGGAAAGAAGAUUUGUUUCGAGCAAUGUUAGCAGCGUUUACCAAACGUGCGUGAGUCACGCUGUGCAGGUAGACGGACAUGCGAGACAAUGGCGUCAGAAAAUGCACGACCAGAUAUCGACACGACCUUACUAUACAAUGUACGUGCAUAACGGAACACUUUCAAACGGCUUUGUAAGAAACAGAAGAAAAAUACGAUAGUUAGAUUCAUCGUAAAAUACAGGACUAUCGAGAGGUACAAAAUGCUCAGAGGUAUUGAACGCCAAUACCAAAUUGAAAUUGCU